rnacentral:misc_RNA from 1 species
GAUGAAGAACGCAGUGAAAUGCGAUAAGUAAUGUGAAUUGCAGAAUUCAGUGAAUCAUCGAAUCUUUGAACGCACAUUGCGCCCGCCAGUAUUCUGGCGGGCAUGCCUGUCCGAGCGUCAUUUCAACCCUCGAACCCCUCCGGGGGUCCGGCGUUGGGGAUCGGGAACCCCUAAGACGGGAUCCCGGCCCCGAAAUACAGUGGCGGUCUCGCCGCAGCCUCUCAUGCGCAGUAGUUUGCACAACUCGCACCGGGAGCGCGGCGCGUCCACGUCCGUAAAACACCCAACUUCUGAAAUGUUGACCUCGGAUCAGGUAGGAAUACCCGCUGAACUUAAGCAUAUCAAUAAGCGGAGGA